AGUGAACGCUGGCGGUAGGCCUAACACAUGCAAGUCGAACGGCAGCACAGUGAGAUUUUGCUCUUACGGUUGGCGAGGGGCGGACGGGUGAUGCAUACAUCGGAAUCUACUUUUUCGUGGGGGAUUACGUAGGUAAACUUCCGCUAAUACCGCAUACGUCCUACCGUUGAAAGCAGUGGAUCUUCGGACCUUGCGCGACUCUAUUAGCCGAUGUCGGAUUAGCUAGUUGGCUGGGUAAGGGCCCACCAAGGCGACGAUCCGUAGCUGGCCUGAGAGGGUGAUCAGCCACACUGGAACUGAGACACGGUCCAGACUCCUACGGGAGGCAGCAGUGGGGAAUCUUGGUCAAUGGGCGCAAGCCUGAUCUAGCCAUACCGCGUGAGUGAAGAAGGCCUUCGGGUUGUAAAGCCCUUUUGUUGGGAAAGAACAGCAGCAGAUUUAUACGCAGCUGUUUUGACGGUACCCAAAGAAUAAGCACCGGCUAACUUCGUG
rnacentral:rRNA from 1 species